rnacentral:lncRNA from 1 species
CCUCUUCACGCUUUUGCCCUUUCUCUGUGUCAGACUGCUGUCGCUUGUUCCCCAGAGCUUCCUAGGCUGGUGGUAGGGAGCCCGGCUCAGCUCAGUGUAGGGAAGACCUGUGUGCCUGGGCCUUGUGAGUGGAACUUCCUCAGCAUUCGAGCCCCUCUUCCCGGUGGCACCCAAACUCUGCCUGCUGUCCGUGUCUCAUUGUUUAUCUAAGGAGGAAGGAAAAAUGAUAACCUGAAGUGUGAAUGCCUGGAGUCUCCAGACCUGUGUGGUGGAAACUGCCCAAGGUGCCCCAGCGUAAUCAGAGAGCAAGAAAUGAAGAAACCAAAAAUCUCUGUGCAGCAUAUGCAAAUACAACAGGAAAGAAAUAUUUCAUAUUGCAAAGUAUGGAGAACAAAGGACAUCAAGUUAACAACAGUGGAUUUUCCUUGAAUAUAAGAUUGUUGCUGACGUUUGUCAAGAAGACAGAUCUUGAGAUGUUUUUCUCCCAAGUGAUGGUCUGAGGAGAAAGCAUGACCAUGUACAAUUUGGGCAAUUAUUUUUCAAAAUGAGUUAUUAAAAAGUGGUACAUUUUAGUAUGUCGACAGAGAACUGUGGACUGCAGGUCAUAGAUACUAAAUGACCCCAAAAGAAAUGAGUCAUCAAAAUCAUCAUCUACAGCAAGAAUUUGGAAAAGGCUUUCACAUUCCUAUGAAAUCAUGGCAGCUGCCUGGAAAUCUAUCCACAUAGCCUUAAAAUACGUACAGAUCAACAAGGAGAGAAUAAUAAUGCUCUCACUAGGGGCAGUUCACACCCAAUGACUGAUUGACUUGGCUAUAAAAGACCUCAAACCUGAAAGGCCUUCUCCAGCUUUAGAGCUGCCGCGAGGGUCAACUGAUGUCUUUGGUGAGACUGCUUCAUAGCCCAACCUCUCCUUUUG